rnacentral:tRNA from 1 species
GGGGCUGUGGCUCAAUGGUAGAGCACUCACGUGGCACGCGUGAGGCACUGUGUUCAAUUCUCAGCACCA